rnacentral:rRNA from 1 species
AUUGAACGCUGGCGGCAUGCCUUACACAUGCAAGUCGAACGGCAGCACGGGGGCAACCCUGGUGGCGAGUGGCGAACGGGUGAGUAAUGCAUCGGAACGUGCCCAGUAGUGGGGGAUAACUAGUCGAAAGAUUAGCUAAUACCGCAUACGACCUAUGGGUGAAAGCGGGGGACCUUUACCGGCCUCGUGCUAUCGGAGCGGCCGAUGUCUGAUUAGCUAGUUGGCGGGGAAGAGCCCACCAAGGCGACGAUCAGUAGCUGGUCUGAGAGGACGACCAGCCACACUGGGACUGAGACACGGCCCAGACUCCUACGGGAGGCAGCAGUGGGGUAAUUUUGGACAAUGGGCGCAAGCCUGAUCCAGCCAU